rnacentral:rRNA from 1 species
GAUGAACGCUGGCGGCGUGCCUAAUACAUGCAAGUCGAGCGAACAGACGAGGAGCUUGCUCCUUUGACGUUAGCGGCGGACGGGUGAGUAACACGUGGAUAACCUACCUAUAAGACUGGGAUAACUUCGGGAAACCGGAGCUAAUACCGGAUAACAUGUUGAACCGCAUGGUUCAACAGUGAAAGACGGUCUUGCUGUCACUUAUAGAUGGAUCCGCGCCGCAUUAGCUAGUUGGUAAGGUAACGGCUUACCAAGGCAACGAUGCGUAGCCGACCUGAGAGGGUGAUCGGCCACACUGGAACUGAGACACGGUCCAGACUCCUACGGGAGGCAGCAGUAGGGAAUCGUCCGCAAUGGGCGAAAGCCUGACGGAGCAACGCCGCGUGAGUGAAGAAGGUCUUCGGAUCGUAAAACUCUGUUAUUAGGGAAGAACAAAUGUGUAAGUAACUAUGCACGUCUUGACGGUACCUAAUCAGAAAGCCACGGCUAACUACGUG